rnacentral:tRNA from 1 species
AGCCCCGUAGCCAAGGGUGUAAGGCAAUGGACUUUGACUCCAUGAUCAGCGGUUCGAAUCCGCUCGGGGCUG